GCAGAGCACACAAUACCAUCUGCACAAGCUAAUGAAGUCCAGCCUUUCCUGGGAAGAUGGCCCUUCAGGGAAUCAUCCUUAAUUCAGAUAUUUUUGGAGUGAGUCCUGCUGUGGGGCAAAAUUUUUGGAGUGAGUCCUGCUGUGGGGCAAAGCACUGUAUUAGGUGCUGAGGACAUUAUAAAGAAAACAUAUAAGCCUGUACCCUAAAAGACCUUACAGCAUUGACCUUGUGAGGACUGAAAGGUCUACAAAUCUGCCUGUUGUGCCGAGAACCAGCAGUGGCCACCAGAGUGGGAAGGCAAAUGUGGCCAGCAAAGAAUCACCGUCAGAGAGAAAGUGAGCUGGGGAGGAAAGAUUCAGGGGAAUAA